rnacentral:rRNA from 1 species
UACGUAGGGGGCGAGCGUUAUCCGGAAUUACUGGGCGUAAAGCGCACGCAGGCGGUUCGCCAAGUUUUGGGAGUGACAGUUGUCGGCUCAACCGACAAAGGACCUCAAAAACUGGUGAACUUGAGGACGAGAGAGGAACAUGGAACUCCAGGUGUAGUAGUGAAAUGCGUAGAUAUCUGGAAGAACACCAAUGGCGAAGGCAAUGUUCUGGCUCGUUUCUGACGCUCAGGUGCGAAAGCCAGGGGAGCGAACGGG